rnacentral:rRNA from 1 species
UACGAAGGGGGCUAGCGUUGUCCGGAUUCAUUGGGCGUAAAGGGUGCGUAGGUGGCUCCGUAAGUCAGUUGUGAAAUCUCGGGGCUCAACCCCGAAACUGCACUUGAUACUGCGGUGCUCGAGUACUGGAGAGGAGAUUGGAAUUUACGGUGUAGCAGUGAAAUGCGUAGAUAUCGUAAGGAAGACCAGUGGCGAAGGCGAAUCUCUGGACAGUUACUGACACUGAGGCACGAAGGCCAGGGGAGCAAACAGG